rnacentral:pre_miRNA from 1 species
UAUUAAAAAAUUUAUCAAUUUGUAUUAUUAAAAAAUGGUGUGGUUGACAAAAUGAUUAAAUAGUAACACACACGUAUACAUCAUGCUGAUGUAUAGGAACCGGUUUUAAACAGUAAAAAUAGAUGAAAAUUUUAACA